GUAUGUGCGUCAUCAAAUCUCACGUGUUUCACAAACGGAUCGUGAUACCGCACGUCGGCGCCUUUCGCCCGCAGGCGAUCGAUGAUUGAUAACGCAGGACUCUCGCGCACGUCGUCGAUGUCUUUCUUGUAGGCUACGCCGAGUAACAAAAUGCGCGAACCCUUCAUCGCCUUGCUUUCGUCAUUCAGACCAUCCGCAACCAACUGCACCACGUGCUCCGGCAUGCGUGAAUUAACUUCUUCGGCCAGACCGAUGAAACGAGAAUCAAACCCAUGCUGGCGCGCUUUCCAGGAAAGAUAAUGCGGGUCGAGCGGAAUGCAGUGGCCACCAAUUCCCGGGCCCGGAUAAAACGCCAUGAAACCAAAUGGCUUGGUUGCGGCCGCGCGAAUCACUUC
rnacentral:misc_RNA from 1 species